rnacentral:rRNA from 1 species
UACAGAGGGGGCGAGCGUUGUUCGGAAUUACUGGGCGUAAAGGGCGCGUAGGCGGCCUUCUAAGUCGAACGUGAAAUCCCCGGGCUCAACCCGGGAACUGCGUCCGAUACUGGGAGGCUUGAAUCCGGGAGAGGGAUGUGGAAUUCCAGGUGUAGCGGUGAAAUGCGUAGAGAUGUGGAGGAACACCGAUGGCGAAGGCAGCCCCCUGGGUUAACACUGACGCUCAGGCACGAAAGCGUGGGGAGCAAACAGG